rnacentral:rRNA from 1 species
UACGGAGGGUGCAAGCGUUAUCCGGAUUCACUGGGUUUAAAGGGUGCGUAGGUGGAUUGGUAAGUCAGUGGUGAAAUCUCCGGGCUUAACUCGGAAACUGCCAUUGAUACUAUCAGUCUUGAAUAUUGUGGAGGUAAGCGGAAUAUGUCAUGUAGCGGUGAAAUGCUUAGAUAUGACAUAGAACACCUAUUGCGAAGGCAGCUUACUACGCAUAUAUUGACGCUGAGGCACGAAAGCGUGGGGAUCAAACAGG